AAUGGUUGGUACAGAGGGCAGCUAUAUAGUGAUAUAAUGCAAAACUCGAAAGCCAAUCCCAGUUCGGAUUGUAGGCUGCAACUCGCCUACAUGAAGUCGGAGUUGCUAGUAAUCGCGGAUCAGAAUGUCGCGGUGAAUGCGUUCCCGGGUCUUGUACACACCGCCCGUCACACCAUGGGAGUUGAUAAUACCCGAAGCCUGUGACCUAAUUGAGGAGCAGUCGAAGGUAGGAUUGAUGACUGGGGUGAAGUCGUAACAAGGUAGCCGUAUCGGAAGGUGCGGCUGGAUCACCUCCUUUCUAAGGAG
rnacentral:rRNA from 1 species